AAAUCCGACCAGUAGUAUGCCGGAUGAGUCAAAUAAGAGAUCUUCACUUGACUUACGGUUCAGGGUUCAUCAUUUGGGCUCGUCAAGUUGCGAGGCAGCAACGUGCCUACAACAUACCUAAAUGAAGGGAAUUGAACAUGUCGAAAUUAGGGCUAGGAGAACCCUGUCAAAAUUGUCGAAGAUAAAAAACAGGAGGUUAGCUGAUGCUGGACGUUACCCAAACAAGGAUGGUGAAGCAGUCACGUCCUGUCCUCUUUUCCAAUUGCUGACUCUCUAAGAAGAACAUCCCAGUGAAUCGACAUGGCUGUUCAGUUACAUGUCAACCGGAUCUUUCACAGGACUUUUUCAGCCGCAACGUUGGUGGACGAUAACCCUGGGACAGGUCAAGCUGAAUUAGCCACAUAGGGCAAACCUCUAAGAGAAAACAUCAAACAAAGAGAAAACAAAUCAUAUUGUUGGAAAAUGGCUAGUGACCGCAUUCUAGGAAUAAGCCGGGUGUAUUAUCUACGCUAUCUCAAAAUAACCUAACAAGGUGAUAAUGAUGAUGAUGAUUGAAUGAUUGACAUGAUUUUGGAAUUAGAUCCCCCCCUCCUCCGCAUGCAUGAAGCAACAUUUGAAAUUAGCACUACCACUUACUUAAAUGAGUUUACUUGCAUAAUAGGGAGAUGAUGUUGUCAAGCCACCGUCUUCACAAGGAUUAAAGGGGAAGAGAGACAAAAUAACUGUCAAGGCUGUUCGCUACCAAACGAUGGAUCAUGGACCGGAGAGGAUCGCCGCCGCCACUACAAGAUAGGACCCUGGCCCACGGGUCGAAGACUGGAGAGGAUCGCCGCCGCCACCGACGCCGCCGCCGCCGCCACCACCACCGGAGCCGCUUCAAGAUCGCCGCACGCUAGGACCUUCGCCAAUGGAUGUCAGGUAUAUUGUUUUAUUCUAAGUGUCUAACCAUACUUUUUUUCAUGUACUCUAGAUGGGACCCAGGACCAAGGAGGAUAGCCGCCGCCACUACAAGAUCGUCGCUUCAAGAUAGGACCCUGGCCCACGGGUCGAAGACUGGAGAGGAUCGCCGCCGCCACCGACACCGCCGCCGCCGCCACCACCACCACCGGAGCCGCUUCAAGAUCGCCGCACGCUAGGACCUUCGCCAAUGGAUGUCAGGUAUAUUGUUUUAUUCUAAGUGUCUAACCAUACUUUUUUUCAUGUACUCUAGAUGGGACCCAGGACCAAGGAGGAUAGCCGCCGCCACUACAAGAUCGUCGCUUCAAGAUAGGACCCUGGCCCACGGGUCGAAGACUGGAGAGGAUCGCCGCCGCCACCGACACCGCCGCCGCCGCCACCACCACCACCGGAGCCGCUUCAAGAUCGCCGCACGCUAGGACCUUCGCCAAUGGAUGUCAGGUAUAUUGUUUUAUUCUAAGUGUCUAACCAUACUUUUUUUCAUGUACUCUAGAUGGGACCCAGGACCAAGGAGGAUAGCCGCCGCCACUACAAGAUCGUCGCUUCAAGAUAGGACCCUGGCCCACGGGUCGAAGGUAAAUUUCAUUUGAUUUUAAAUGCCUCAAACUUCUUUUAUUAAUGUUUUUUUAUUUUAUUUAGACUCGAGAGGAUCGCCGCCGCCACCGACGCCGUCGCCGCCGCCACCACCACCACCACCGGAGGCGCUUCAAGAUCGCCGCACGCUAGGACCUUCGCCAAUGGAUGUCAGGUAUAUUGUUUUAUUCUAAGUGUCUAACCAUAUUUUUUUUUAUGUACUAUAGAUGGGACCCAGGACAAAGGAGGAUCGCCGCCGCCACUACAAGAUCGUCUCCGCCGCAGCAAAGGACUUCGAAGAUCUUUAAAUGUAUGGUUUCUUCCAACAACAAUUGGGAAGAGUAAUGUAGCAAGAAAGUAAAAAGUGAUAAAAUUGCAGUUUGAAUCUGGUUCAGACAUGGACGAUCCUAAAGUUUAAAUUUAACUAGGUAAUAAGAAAGAGCUUGUGGAAUACAGGCUAAAGAUGAAAUACAAGAUUGGUGUUCCAAACCAAUCAGCAGUAUAUAAUGUGAUUCAAGAAAAUUGAUCGUAACAUCAUCCAAACCAACCUAAGAUUUAUUGUUAAACCAGAAAAAGAAGAUUUCAUUCACAUUCAGUGACAAUAGUUGAAGAUGAGUUGUCCCGCCAAGAUCAAAUUGAUACAGAACUUGACACUUGUAACUUCAAGCAACUGUUGAACUUGGGUAGCCAAGUUUGAAAAGGAUUUCAAAGGAUUUGAAUAAAGAAAAUUCAAGACAUUUGAGAAAGAGCAGAGCCACGCAAAUCCAAUGGGUAAAUAAUGGUUAAUGGACUAGAGAUCUCAUUCAUUGGCGCCUUCCGCGAGUUAUUGGUCUCGCUCUACGACGAUAUAAGAAAAUGCCGCCUAUGUAAGGCGUUGAUAAAGCUGCAAUCAUCCCCUGAUUGCUGAAGAACAAGAGAUCCAGGCCUUCUAUUUAAUGGCAUCACGCAUCACCCCAUUGAUGUCACGUAACACGAGUCUAACACAAAUUGCUGGAUUAGAUUGCCGACUACGUAAACGGACCUCAGGCGAGAGACGAUUUCAAAAAUGGUUUAUACCGACUGCUAAUUCAGAUGAAUCUGGAUUAAGAAUUUGAUAACAAAGCUGGACCGUCAAAAGCCUUCCAUUAAUCCCUGCUGAAAAAUGAAACUUUCUUCUGGGCCUACGCUAGAAGAGUCUGUAAAGAGAUGGACUGUCCGUACAACUAGAACUCGCCCGAAAAAAACUGGCCGACUUUGAUUAGUCUCUAUACGCUCACGUGUCCGCUGAAGAAGUCGAAAGUUUUAUCUGUGAUCACGAGAUCGGCAGGCAGUGCUACUGGAGAAGAUUUUGCACUUGACUUCAUCCCCGAAUUUGUUUUCAUAGAAGACUUGGAAUCGGGGAAUUCUGUGGUGGUCCUUGAGCGAAAAUCGAUAGUUUUGGCAGCCAUCGUCUCUUCCGCCCCAAUUACAGGAACUCAUCCUUGCCGAUUUGUUUGAAUUACAUGAGAAAAACUGAAGUUUGGCCCAGGCUCGGUCUGCUCUAAUUUCUUCCACUACACGUUUUCCCUCGUAAUACCGAGCAAAUUACCUGUUAUUAUAAGCAAAGUUGUGAAAUUGUUCGCAUUCAUAUUCAGACUUCCUAAACUGAAAUUAAAAACAAAACAUUAUAGUCAGGUUUUGAAUUUUGAUGUUGGCUUAAUUAGCUGAAUUGACAUCUGUGAGGCAUUUCUUAGAAUGUGAUGGCCGAUGGGUUUUAGCUGGUUCGGGUUAUGGCGCCUUGGCGGUUCGUGAGCUUGCUAUUAUUCUUGACAAAUUUUGAUGUUGAAAGACUUGGAAACCAUGCUGUCGACCACGUCGAGAAGCUGAGUAACAGUCUGCUUUUACAAUGGUACCUCUUAAUAAAAGGAACUUAAGCCAUCCAAUCUAGGGCUUCCAUCAAAUCGUGCAGGCUGCAUGGAAGUUGCAUUUACCUUUGCUGUGAACAUCAUGAACACAUACACUAUUUAAAGGUUCAUGUUUACGUAGCAGUGGUGUUGCUGUCCAAUGUGGCGUGUUGUUGCAGCCUUUGGUGGUGAAAGAUAUCUGCAUCAAGUUGCUGUUCCUUGUGAUCCAAGGUACUGCUUUUGUGCUACAGAAGUGACAUCCAAUAUUGUGUUUAAUUGCUAUUUGUGUCUUGUUUACCUUUACAUAUUGAUAAGGAACAAAAAAAUAGUAAAACGGGAAGGUCUAUGUCAAACAAAUAAUAAACCAGAUUGGGGGAAUGAGGAGGAAGUUGGGGUGGGGUAUUUGGUUAUGAUUUACGAAAAUAAGUGAGGUAUAUUUUUAAUGAAUUGCAGUACUUCUGUUAAAUCGAUAAAUCUGUUGCUAAUCUAUACCUUCCCCUUACACAUCCUUUCCUCAAACCCCAUAAGCACCAACAUCAAAUCCCAAAUCCAAUCACAUCAAUUCCCAUAACCCCACAAUCUCCAACAUCAAAUAAACACAAUUUUUGUAUAUCUAUAAUUAAUUGUAUAUAAAAUGUGUAAUUAUUUGAACACAUGCAAAAUAAACAAUUCAUUAAACAGAGCGUCCGGUUCAAAACCAUUUUUUUU